UUCGGCUAAACGAUUCAAUCUGCGGCCUUUUGGGGACUCUAGUCCUACCAGCCCUCACCCUUUCUCUUUGACAUCCUGUUCUUUCGGCUCUCUCUUACUUUCAGAAUCGCCAGGCUGCAUUCCUGAGCAAGAUAAGUUUAUCUCACUUUCACUGUGUAAAGGAGUCAGAUUCCUACUUCUUUCCGGCUCUUCCCACUCCAAUUCGGGUUCUUCUUUGUCUGUCAGCUAUGGCUCUCUCCCCCCCCCCAUUCGGAUUCCAUUCCGUCUGUCAGAAAGGGAACGUCUCUGACAUAUGCCAUGGUUAUAAGAAAUCAUGGCCAUCCCAGAAAACAGAAGGGCAAGCAUGAAGAGCCAGUGCAAUUGCAUUGCUGAAGCUUGAUUCAGAUCUAAGCUGAGCAGCAAGAGCAGAAUCGUGAGGCAGAAUGCUCUGAAAACAUGAUCAUCCCAGAAAACAGAAGGGCAACCAUGAAGAGCCAGCACAGUUGCAUUGUUGAAGCUUGACUCAGAUCUCAAGUUGAGCAGCAAGAGCAGAAUCGUGAGGCAGAAUGCUCUGGUGAGAGUUCUGUGUCUUCUGAAUGCCCAGCUAUUUAUAGGAAUUCACGAUAUACUGACACGGAAGCCCUCUGCAUUGAUGAUCUGGCAUGUUACAUGUGAUGACAAAAUCUAUUCACCAAGAAGAACCCCAAAAAGUUAUUUUACCAUAUAUAUUGCACAUUGUUCUUUAGAAAGCCAUAACAUUCAUAGAACAUAGAACAUAAAAUUCAUGUCAUUAAACAUGAUAUGCACUCAGAGCUCAAUGGUUUUAUAGUACUUAUUGUUUUAAAAGUUUCUGUCUAUAUAUUAUUUCCUGCA